rnacentral:tRNA from 1 species
GGCUUUGUAGCCGAGCUGGUAACCAGCAUGUGGUGUUAACCAGGCGAUCUGGGGUUCGAAUCCCAGCCGGGCCU